GCGCUGAUUGGCUGUUGUCCAGUCCGCAAUGGGCCUCCUGAAAAAAGCAAUUACUGCCUCCGCGGUUUCAAGGCGGCCCAAGGCCGCUUGAUGAAAGGAGAUAAGCUGGGGACAGUUUCCAGGAUCCCCGCGGGCCGACCGGGGCUGCCCGGGAGCGGAGGUGCGGCGGAGAGUCCGAGGAUCAAAGGAAUCCACAGAGAAAAGGGAAGCGGGCGGACAUCCUGGCUAGCCUGGCCCCCCGCGGGCUGCGCUGACCUGAGAGGCUUGCAGAGACAGGUCCAGUGGCCAGGCCUGGAAGCUUGCAUCUGGAGGGAAAACCUCCUGAGACAGGUGGUGAGAAAUCAAAGCCCUCACAUCGGAGCCGGAAACAAAAGGGCUUUGGAAAAGCUGCUUCGGGGAGCGGGCUGAGCGCUGAACCCGCGUGGGGAGAAGCCGCGGCCUGGUCUCGGGUCUCCACCUGCGCCAAGUCGGCCCAGUCCCCGGGAGCGAGGAGGCGGCCGGAGGCGCCAUAAUCGCUAAUUUAUGGCCUGGGUGACGUGCUUCCCUCUCCCACAAUGGGGCCCGGUGACAUUAAACAGAAAAUUGAUGAGAGGAGCGAAAUCUAAUCUCUUUCCCCGGCGCGCCGGCUCUUUCCCUUCUCUGGGAGGGGGCUGGGACACGAGGAAGAAGGUGGUCGCUUGAACCACGCGCUGGAGGCCUCUCUCCCGGACUCCAGCUCCGGACCCGCGGGUGGGCUGGGGCCUCCUUU